rnacentral:rRNA from 1 species
UACGUAGGGUGCAAGCGUUGUCCGGAAUUAUUGGGCGUAAAGAGCUCGUAGGCGGUCUGUCGCGUCUGCUGUGAAAACUCAGGGCUUAACCCUGAGCUUGCGGUGGGUACGGGCAGACUAGAGUGAUGUAGGGGAGACUGGAAUUCCUGGUGUAGCGGUGAAAUGCGCAGAUAUCAGGAGGAACACCGAUGGCGAAGGCAGGUCUCUGGGCAUUAACUGACGCUGAGGAGCGAAAGCAUGGGGAGCGAACAGG